rnacentral:rRNA from 1 species
CGGNGGUAGUAACACGUGGAUAACCUACCUAUAAGACUGGGAUAACUUCGGGAAACCGGAGCUAAUACCGGAUAAUAUAUUGAACCGCAUGGUUCAAUAGUGAAAGACGGUUUUGCUGUCACUUAUAGAUGGAUCCGCGCCGCAUUAGCUAGUUGGUAAGGUAACGGCUUACCAAGGCAACGAUGCGUAGCCGACCUGAGAGGGUGAUCGGCCACACUGGAACUGAGACACGGUCCAGACUCCUACGGGAGGCAGCAGAU